CCUACGGGUGGCUGCAGUGAGGAAUAUUGGUCAAUGGGCGAGAGCCUGAACCAGCCAAGUCGCGUGAAGGAUGACGGCCCUACGGGUUGUAAACUUCUUUUGUCAGGGAGCAAAUGAGGCCACGUGUGGUCUUAGCGCGAGUAACUGAAGAAAAAGCAUCGGCUAACACCGUGCCAGCAGCCGCGGUAAUACGGAGGAUGCGAGGGUUAUCCGGAUUUAUCGGGGGGACAGGGCGUGUAGCCGGGCUUACAAGUCAGAUGUGAAAUGCGGGGGGUCAACCCCCGAACUGCAUUUGAAACUGUUGGUCUUGAGUAUCGGAGAGGCAGGCGGAAUUCCUAGUGUAGCGGUGAAAUGCGUAGAUAUUAGGAGGAACACCAGUGGCGAAGGCGGCCUGCUGGACGACAACUGACGGUGAGGCGCGAAAGCGUGGGGAGCAAACAGGAUUAGAUACCCCUGUAGUC
rnacentral:rRNA from 1 species